CACGUAGGGGGCGAGCGUUGUCCGGAUUUAUUGGGCGUAAAGAGCUCGUAGGCGGCUCAGUAAGUCAGGUGUGAAAACUCCAGGCUCAACCUGGAGACGCCACCUGAUACUGCUGUGGCUAGAGUCCGGUAGGGGAGCAUGGAAUUCCCGGUGUAGUGGUGAAAUGCGUAGAGAUCGGGAGGAACACCCGUGGCGAAGGCGGCUCACUGGGCCGGUCCUGACGCUGAGACGCGAAGGCGUGGGGAGCGAACGGG
rnacentral:rRNA from 1 species